GUGCCAGCAGCCGCGGUAAUACGGAGGGGGCUAGCGUUGUUCGGAAUUACUGGGCGUAAAGCGCGCGUAGGCGGGCUGUUAAGUCGGGGGUGAAAUCCCGGGGCUCAACCCCGGAACUGCCUUCGAUACUGGCAGCCUAGAGGAAGGUAGAGGCUAGUGGAAUGGCGAGUGUAGAGGUGAAAUUCGUAGAUAUUCGCCGGAACACCAGUGGCGAAGGCGACUGGCUGGACCUUUUCUGACGCUGAGGUGCGAAAGCGUGGGGAGCAAACAGGAUUAGAAACCCCCGUAGUCC
rnacentral:rRNA from 1 species